GCCCCAAAUGAUCUUCUCGCCCUGGUCUCCCAAAGUGUUGGGGUUACCGACAUGACCCACCGUGCCUGCCUGGCCUGUGAAAGCACUUUGUAAAAUAAUAAUCAAAAGCCAUUUAACAAGGGUCUUUAAGGUAACAGGAUGACAUUGCUGGGGUGGGGCUAGGACUUGGUUUCUUCCUAUGGAGAGUCACUGGCUUUGAACAUUGCUUUCUGGCUACAGGAAGAGGAAGCUCUCCCGGAGACGGGGAUGAUGGGAAGGGGAGAAAGUAGACUUCGACAAUAGCAGAUGGCGGAGCCCCUGGCCCGUCGUCAGCCUGAAUGAUCUGAUUGACAGCCCCGUGGAAGGAGGAGCCACGACUCCAUGAGACCGGGGGUGACAGUCCUCACGCAGGGCUUGGAUGGCAAGAUUGCUAAGGGUUCCUUGUCCUCCCGCAGCCUCUGUUCCACCCACAGUGCUGCACCCGCGGCUGCAUCCCAGAAUCCCGGAAGCGGCUGCGUCCCGGAAGCGGCUGCGUCCCGGAAGCGGCUGCGUCGGCCCCAAUGCCAGGUCUGAGGAGACAGCCAAGGCAGAGGGACACGAGGAAACGUGCUCUGGAGUCCGCAUGACUCCCCGCCCCACGUCUGGGGUGCCCCGAGAAGGCCGGGCAAGGUCCCGGGUUAUGACGAGGGCCACCCAUAGGAGAGGCGAGUCUCAGCUGAGCCGAAGCCACCUGCGCUCCCUCGUGGGAGCGGGACCGACAUCCCGUCUUCCCAGGAGUCCCGGCGGAGACAGGAAGCGUGGGCCCUGUGUGCUCCUGGCGGCUCUGGCCGUAGAACACAGCAAAUCACGGCGGCUCCAGGGAGGAAGAUGCCCAGUGCCAGGGCAGGGGCUCCUCAGGAAACUCGGCUUCCAGAAGGAUAAAGCACAUUUCCAUGUAUAAGACCUUACUCUUGAGAACAGUCUCCUUCACGUGCCUUCUGCCUCACCUGCCUCUGCAAAAUCCGUGUCGGUCGUGUACCCCCGUGAUGAAAUGAGGCCUUGCCCUGCGAGUCAGUAGACCCGAGCGCUCAGACGAGCCAGGUGAUGGCACGCAGGGAGUGAAGAGGCAGGAAAAUGAGAGUUGAGGACCACUCUUAAGAUGGCAAAGGAGCCUUGUCCCCAGCGCUGAGGAGGAACUCGAGAAGAGUCUUGGAGAAGAAGGGAGAGAUCACAACCCUGUGCUAUUUGUUGCCUAGUGUCUGAAACCACAAUGAGGAAGUUAAAUAGCAAUUACUCUUUCACGGUCAAAAUCCAGAACCAUUAACAUAAGAGAACAGUUUGGACCACAGGACAAAUAACAUUAGACAGAGAAAAAGUAUCUAUUGACCACCUGCUGUGGGCUUCUAAAGAAGUAGAAGGCAUUGUCCUUCCAACUUGCUGAAGGAAGAGACAACAUUCAUACAUGUACAAGGUACAGGAAACAGCAAGACAGUUGAGAAUCUCUGGAAGGUUGAAGCUACACAGGGGUGAAGGCACUGCAGCCAUACUUCACUGACUCCCUCCUCCAGGGCCAAGGAGGACAUUUGGAAGCAUUCUCUUUGGAAACCGUACCUAAGACAGGUUGUUUCAACCCAGGCUUGGGACAUUAAGGAUUGGCCUCCAACAUAAUGAGGGAGCUUGCUCUCAUUUUCCCAGCUGCUAAGGCACAAGAUGUCCUGUUUGUCGUUACCUGGCAGAUAAGCAUCCAAGGGCACCAUCGUUAUGACAACAAGAGAUGUUCUUGCACGAAGAGUGCCACCAGCCUGGCACAUGCUCCUCUGCAAAGAAAUUGGAUGGGUGUUCAGGCAAUAAAGAUGCUUCUCACUUUUUGUGAACACAACACACGUUGUGUGCUUGAUGCUCCUGUGACAAAGACCCCAGUCAUCAAAGUUUAGCAAUUGCCCUGAAAAGUCACAGGCAGAAGUUCAGCAACGGAUACACCAUGCAUGAGUAGCAGCGAAGGAGCUGCAUGGAUUUCCAUGCCCGCUGCAGCUGCUAAAAUAUUGUUGUCUACAUCCAUCCGUUCAUUUGGGUGGCCCAAUGCAGUUGGCUUCGGAAAUCCUGCAGGUGACUAGACAAGGAGCUUGAGACUGAAGGGCUUCGGGAGUUCAAAUAGCCUGGAAGUGCGGCUUACUCACUUCUGGAGAAAUAAGGCCAUUUUCUAUGACUCAGAGAGGCCAG